GAGUUUGAUCCUGGCUCAGAACGAACGCUGGCGGCGUGCUUAACACAUGCAAGUCGAACGUGAUUGGAAGCUUGCUUCCAUGAAAGUGGCGCACGGGCGAGUAACGCGUGGAUAACCUGCCCUGGUAUCCGGAAUAACAUCUCGAAAGGGGUGCUAAUACCGGAUAAGCCUACGGAGCCUUCGGUCUCUGCAGGAAAAGGUGGCCUCUAUUUAUAAGCUACCGUAUCAAGAUGGGUCCGCGUACCAUUAGCUAGUUGGUGGGGUAAUGGCCUACCAAGGCGACGAUGGUUAGCUGGUCUGAGAGGAUGAUCAGCCACACUGGAACUGAGACACGGUCCAGACUCCUACGGGAGGCAGCAGUGGGGAAUUUUGCGCAAUGGGGGAAACCCUGACGCAGCAACGCCGCGUGAGUGAUGAAGGCUUUCGGGUCGUAAAGCUCUGUCAGAGGGGAAGAAAUGGGUCUGGCUAAUAUCCAGAUUCCUUGACGGUACCCUCAAAGGGAGCACCGGCUAACUCCGUGCCAGCAGCCGCGGUAAUA
rnacentral:rRNA from 1 species